AGAGUUUGAUCCUGGCUCAGGAUGAACGCUAGCUACAGGCUUAACACAUGCAAGUCGAGGGGAAACGACAUCGAAAGCUUGCUUUUGAUGGGCGUCGACCGGCGCACGGGUGAGUAACGCGUAUCCAACCUGCCCACCACUUGGGGAUAACCUUGCGAAAGUAAGACUAAUACCCAAUGAUAUCUCUAGAAGACAUCUGAAAGAGAUUAAAGAUUUAUCGGUAGACGAUGGGGAUGCGUUCCAUUAGAUAGUAGGCGGGGUAACGGCCCACCUAGUCAACGAUGGAUAGGGGUUCUGAGAGGAAGGUCCCCCACAUUGGAACUGAGACACGGUCCAAACUCCUACGGGAGGCAGCA
rnacentral:rRNA from 1 species